rnacentral:rRNA from 1 species
AAUAGUUUUUUAAUUGAAAACUGGAAUGAAUGAUUGGACAAAAAAUAAUCUGUCUUUUUUAUAAAAAUUGAAUUUUACUUUUAAGUGAAAAGGCUUAAAUGAUUUAAAGGGACGAUAAGACCCUUUAAAACUUAACAAAAUAAAUAAAUUGUUAAAUUUUAAGGUUGAAUUCAUUUUUUUUAUUUUGUUUCAUUGGGGUGAUGAAGAUAAAUAAAAUAACUGUCUUAUAAUUUAAUAUAAUUAUAAUUAGAUACUAUAUGAUCCUUUAUUUUUAAGAUUAAAAGAGAAAGUUACUUUAGGGAUAACAGCGUAAUUUUUUCUGAGAGUUCUUAUUAAUGAAAAUAGUUGCGACCUCGAUGUUGAAUUAAGAUUUUCUAUUAAAAUGCAGUAAUUUUAAUUAUAAGUCUGUUCGACUUUUAAAAUCUU